UAACUCAGUGGUAAAGUGGCGCUAUGGUAAGGCGUAAGUCAUCGGUUCAAAUCCGAU
rnacentral:tRNA from 1 species